CAGCGUCUGGCACGUGGCGAGUCCUGAAGACGCACGAGCUGUUACUACAGAGAUAAUUUUCCCUGUCUCUCCUUUCUUCCUCCUUCUCACCCUCUUCCUCCUCUCUUCGCACAUUGCCGAGAAGAUCCUGAGGCCUCCUGCGUGGACCGCGAGAACUGCUGUGGGCGUCCAGCUGUAAUGAAAUAUUUCGAGCACAGGACAGAAUACACUGCCUGCCCCUUUCCCAUCUCAUCUCCCUUCUUUUCUCCCUAGAGUUUGCCUUUUAAGAAGAUAAUUCUGUGUGGAGGAUGAGAGGAGGAGAGACUGGAAGCAAAGAGAACAACCGGAAGCCCUCAUCUAAGCAGAAGACAGUGGUGGCCUUAAUCUGAGGGGGUGACUGUGGAGUUUGACAAAUUUGAGAGGCUUUAAGACACUGGAAGGAAGAGUACAUGCAUUCAUUCAUUCAGUGGCUGUUACCUGAGCCCCCAAGAUGUGUCAGGCCCAGAAAUGGCCAGGCCUUGGUUGGAGAGUGGUCUGGAAGUGCUGGGGGGUCUGUGAGUGAGAGGGCGGUGAUUUCAUUGGAUAAAGAAGGUCCUUCCUGAAAGUGAAAUUGCAGCCCACAGCACUGCCCAGGGCAGAAGGAGUGGAGGGAAGAUUACUGGAAGGUGCCAGAAUCUCCCCUCAAAUCCUACUGCCGGUGGGAGGUGUGAGCCACACAGAGAAGGCCUCCUGUGGUUCCCACCCUGCUGUGACUGGCUGCCUUUUGGCUCGAGGGGAGGUUUGCCUUGGCUUUGAUUCCUGGUUAAUUACCCUCCAAGGUUAAUUCUGUAAACGCCAGUAAUGACCACGAGUUAAUUUCUCUCUCUCCCCUGCCCGCCUCACUUCUUCAAUUUUUUUUUCUUUAAUGGGCCAUCCAAGCUUGUUGGAAUGUUUACCAAAGCAGGAUAGUUAGAGAUGUAAAUACAUGAAUUUACCUUGUCAAAAGGAUCUGGAGAUAGAAUUAAGGCGAGAGGAGUAAUUUACAGGUAAAUAAUUACUUGGAAACCUCAGUGGGGAGACUGCUGGGUUUCUCUAAUUAUUUAUCUUCUCCCAAUUUUCUCUUCUUUGAACUGCCAGCGUGGGGGUGUACCGGGGUGGUGUGCCGAGCGGGAGAUGCUAUUUUGGAUUUCCCCUCUCAAUUGUGAAAUGCCUUUUUUGGGGGGGGACCUCGGCCAGCAUGCAGGGCUGGCCAGUCAAGCCCUCGGCAAUUUGCAGGACACUUUUAUGCUCAUGACUUCAUUCUGAUCCUCUCGUGUGCUCUCAGAGGUGGGCGGUAUUGCUGGCCCCAUUUAUGGAUGGAGAAACUGAGGUUCCUAGGGGUGAAGCCAAACGAUGAAUAAAUGGUGUUUUGUGGGUCAGCCCCAGGCUCUGAUUCUCCCAGCUUCCAGCAGCCCUUGACCUUUGCCUGGUGGUUCUUACCCCCUCCCAAACCCCCGGCCUGGCUGGGUUCCUCACGGAGCCCAAAAGCUCCGUUGCCAACAACCUGCUCUGUCUUCCCCAUAGGCUGG